GAGUGCAGUACCUGUUUCCCAGAAGUACACAGACUUAACGUCCUCCGCCGUCUGUGUGUUAACCCUCCAGGUGCCACAGAGUAGCAGUACUGCUGCCCAGAGGUAUUGGCUGCCCUUCGUCUUAACGUUUGGGGUCCUUCCCGCACCCCUCCACCUCCACCCAAACCCCAUGGUCCUCUCCAGGGUUAAAGUAAAUCCACACAGUCACAGAAGGUUCCGGCAGGCCAAGAUAGCCCGAUACGUGCAAAGGUUCCAAAGGCAGAAAAAAACUAUUUGUGUGAUUUGUCCCACUAAAGGACUGGUGCUUCCUCUCCUGAAGGGCAGAGCAAGUGAAUACUCUGUCUCUGUCUCUCUCUCUCUCUUUCUCUCCUCCACUACCCAGUUCAACUCAGUGUGUUCCCAGAAGAAGCCUGUCAGUUAGAGGAGUAGAGGUCCAGACAGACCGUUGAUCCUCCAUGCUCUCUGGUGCUGCUGCUGUUCUCAGCGGCUUCUGCCUCUGUCCUCUGGCUGUGGAGCAGUGACAGUGGCUGUGUGUCUGCAGUGGUACCUCCCCCUCCCUCUCCCUCUCCCUCUCGCUCUCUCUUUCUGCUUCUCUCUUUUAGUCACUCUCUUCCCGUCUUUCUAGACUCCAACUGCCUCUUUUUUUUAUACACGCUGUCUCUUGCCCGGGGCACAGGGACGGAUAUGUCUUCUCUUCCACUCCUAGCUAGCAGCACUGAGAGGACAACGGGAGACCAGCAUUCACACUGAGUAUAGCAGCUGCUGUAAACUCACCUCCUAGGAUCGGAAACAGUGUAGCUGCUGUAAACUCACCUCCUAGGAUCGGAAACAGUGUAGCUGCUGUAAACUCACCUCCCAAGAUCAGUGAAUGAGUAGCAUAAAGCAGGAAGAUGGAGACAUGGAGGGGCAUGGGAGAGGGAAUUUCUAGGCGCAGCCAGGGGCCGGAGAAUGUCAGGUUUGGGGACCACAUGAUUUCGUCUCUGCUCUUUGCGGAUGAUGUUGUCGUGUUGGCCCCUUCUAACCAGGACCUUCAGCAUGCGCUGGGACGGUUUGCAGCCGAGUGUGAAGCGGUGGGGAUGAGAAUCAGUACCUCCAAAUCCGAGGCCAUUGUCCUCAAUCGAAAAAGGGUGGCUUGCCCACUUCAGGUUGGUGGAGAGUGCUUGCCUCAAGUGGAGGAGUUUAAGUAUCUAGGGGUCUUGUUCACGAGUGAGGAAAGGAUGGAACGGGAGAUUGACAGACAGAUCGGUGCAGCUUCUGCAGUAAUACGGUCAAUGUAUCGGUCUUGUCUUGGUGAAGAAAGAGCUGAGCCGCAAGGCGAAGCUCUCGAUUUACCAGUCAAUCUACGUUCCUACUCUCACCUAUGGUCAUGAGCUUUGGGUCAUGACCGAAAAGACAAGAUCCCGGAUACAGGUGGCCAAAAUGAGCUUUCUCCACAGGGUGGCUGGGCGAUCCUUAGAGAUAGAAUGAGAAGCUCGGUCACCCGGGAGGAGCUCAGAGUACAGCCGCUGCUCCUCCACAUCGAGAGGGGUCAACUGAGGUGGCUUGGGCAUCUGUUCCGGAUGCCUCCGGAACGCCUUCCUGGGAAGGUGUUCCGGUCCCGUCCCACCGGGAGGAGACCCCGGGGAAGACCUAGGACACGCUGGAGGGACUAUGUCUCCCGGCUGGCCUGGGAACGCCUCGGUGUCCCCCCGGGAAGAGCUGGAGGAAGUGUCUGGGGAGAGGGAAGUCUGGGCAUCUCUGCUUAGACUGCUGCCCCCGCGACCCGUCCCCGGAUAAGUGGAAGAUGAUGAUGAUAAUGAAUUUACAUAGCUUAAGUCUCAAUUGUUUACCAGACAUGUUAAAAACCCUUAAUAUUUCCCUGUCUUUCUUAUCACCAGGAGAUUUCAUGAAGAUCAUGAAAAAUGGACUUCCAUGAGAAAGCAGUAGGCUACACCAAGUGAGGAACAGCUAGUUCUACUGGUACAGACACUGGACAUAUUGACCUCAGUUUUGCAACCAUUCCAUACCGGUUGUCAAUGUGGAUCCUGUCUGAGAUCCUGGAGGCUCCAGCUGAUUCUCAUGGCAGCCUCGGAGUCCAUGGGAAGGCUGACCACACCCCGAGAUGGAGUAUAGCAGCAACUCAUAAAUCCCACAGUCACCAGACACUGACCUGGACUCAAAUGUAACUACACCAGCUGCAUUCAGUUGACCUCGAGGCUGGGGAACAGACCAUCAUUAGAACCUGCCACAUCUAAUUACAAAAGACCUGUCCACCAAAAACAACCUAAGAGUGUCUCUCCAGGUACAACUUCCCUCGACUCAUAUUCAUCCUCCUAGAGAGCAUCAACAGAAAUUUGGAAGAACGAUGACCGGACAGCUCGACUUAACCUUCUGGAUCAGUGCAGAAAAGAGGGAAGAGAGACAUGCCAUGCUCACUGAAGAGCUUGAUGUUGAUAUUGCAAGAUUUGUCACACUAUAAGUGACUUGAUCUACAAACUGCCACAACAUAAAAAAGGUCUAACCAAGUUCAAAAUCCAUCAGCAUUUAUUUGAGAUGGGGAAAGAAAGUCCUGGAGACACGGCCGGCUGAAUACAUUGUUUGAAUACACACCCUGAUUUUUGAACAAAAU
ensembl:lncRNA